UUGUUACGAGANCGAUAGCGAACAAGUACCGNGNNNNNAAGUUGAAAAGAACUUUGAAGAGAGAGUUCAAGAGUACGUGAAANCGUUCAGGGGUAAACCUGUGAAANCCAAAAGAUCGAAUGAGGAGAUUCAUCGUCAGCUUAUUCAGUAUUAAUGCAGGCUAUGAUGUGAUAAUAGAAUCCUUGUGGUCACUAUAUUAUACUUGCUUGUAUUAUUUUUGCUGGAUAUGUCGGCGUGCACUUCUCCUCUAGUAGAACGUCGCAACCCGUUGGAUGUUUAUCUAUGGCUUGAAUGGUAGCCUUUGAUAUUUAUUAUAUUGAAGACCUUCNUAUGUCCUGAUAAACUGUUUGACGGUAUACAUAUGGUAUUGAGCCGCAAUUAUNNNUUGCGUUAGACUUAUCGCAAGUAUGGCUUUAUUCUNGNAGUGNCGGAUCUAAUGCCGUCGCUGGACAAAGUCUGCUGUUAGCUGUAUAAUGUCUUUAACUGGCUUAUUUACCGGUUAGCGAUGCUA
rnacentral:rRNA from 1 species